UGGGGAAUAUUGCACAAUGGGCGCAAGCCUGAUGCAGCCAUGCCGCGUGUAUGAAGAAGGUCUCCGGGUUGUAAAGUACUUUCAGUCGGGAGGAAGGUGGUAAGGUUAAUAACCUUAUCAAUUGACGUUACCGACAGAAGAAGCACCGGCUAACUCUGUGCCAGCAGCCGCGGUAAUACGGAGGGUGCAAGCGUUAAUCGGAAUUACUGGGCGUAAAGCGCACGCAGGCGGUUGAUUGAGUCAGAUGUGAAAUCCCCGGGCUUAACCCGGGAAUUGCAUCUGAUACUGGUCAGCUAGAGUCUUGUAGAGGGGGGUAGAAUUCCAUGUGUAGCGGUGAAAUGCGUAGAGAUGUGGAGGAAUACCGGUGGCGAAGGCGGCCCCCUGGACAAAGACUGACGCUCAGGUGCGAAAGCGUGGGGAGCAAACCGG
rnacentral:rRNA from 1 species